GAAAUGCGAUAAGUAAUGUGAAUUGCAGAAUUCCGUGAAUCAUCGAAUCUUUGAACGCACAUUGCGCCCCCUGGCAUUCCGGGGGGCAUGCCUGUCCGAGCGUCAUUGCGACCCCCUCAAGCGCGGCUUGUGUGAUGGGCCCCGGCGUCCCCGCGACCGCGGGGACGGGCCCGAAAGGCAGUGGCGGCGUCGCGGUGAUCCGAUCGCCCGUAGCGUAUGGGAACCUGACGCUGGCGGCGCGGACCGACGCCCGCCUUCUCUUCUUGAUCGAAUUUUCGAAGGUUGACCUCGGAUCAGGUAGGGAUACCCGCUGAACUUAA
rnacentral:misc_RNA from 1 species